GACGAACGCUGGCGGCGUGCCUAAUACAUGCAAGUAGAACGCACAGUUUAUACCGUAGCUUGCUACACCAUAAACUGUGAGUUGCGAACGGGUGAGUAACGCGUAGGUAACCUGCCUGGUAGCGGGGGAUAACUAUUGGAAACGAUAGCUAAUACCGCAUAAUAUUAAUUAUUGCAUGAUAAUUGAUUGAAAGAUGCAAUUGCAUCACUACCAGAUGGACCUGCGUUGUAUUAGCUAGUAGGUGAGGUAACGGCUCACCUAGGCGACGAUACAUAGCCGACCUGAGAGGGUGAUCGGCCACACUGGGACUGAGACACGGCCCAGACUCCUACGGGAGGCAGCAGUAGGGAGUCUUCGGCAAUGGACGAAAGUCUGACCGAGCAACGCCGCGUGAGUGAAGAAGGUUUUCGGAUCGUAAAGCUCUGUUGUAAGAGAAGAACGGGUGUGAGAGUGGAAAGUUCACACUGUGACGGUAUCUUACCAGAAAGGGACGGCUAACUACGUG
rnacentral:rRNA from 1 species